rnacentral:rRNA from 1 species
GUGGGGAAUUUUGGACAAUGGGCGCAAGCCUGAUCCAGCCAUUCCGCGUGCAGGAUGAAGGCCUUCGGGUUGUAAACUGCUUUUGUACGGAACGAAAAGCCUCUGGUUAAUACCCGGGGGUCAUGACGGUACCAUAAGAAUAAGCACCGGCUAACUACGUGCCAGCAGCCGCGGUAAUACGUAGGGUGCGAGCGUUAAUCGGAAUUACUGGGCGUAAAGCGUGCGCAGGCGGUUUUGUACGAUCGAUGUGAAAUCCCCGGGCGCAACCUGGGAACUGCAGUGGUGACUGCAAGGCUGGAGUGCGGCAGAGGGGGAUGGAAUUCCGCGUGUAGCAGUGAAAUGCGUAGAUAUGCGGAGGAACACCGAUGGCGAAGGCAAUCCCCUGGGCCUGCACUGACGCUCAUGCACGAAAGCGUGGGGAGCAAACAGGAUUAGAAACCCCGGUAGUCC